rnacentral:tRNA from 1 species
GGAGAGAUGGUCGAGCUGGCUGAUGGCACCGGUCUUGAAAACCGGCGAGGGUGCAAGCCCUCCGUGGGUUCAAAUCCCACUCUCUCCGCCA